rnacentral:lncRNA from 1 species
CGAGGGUGCUCCAACACUGGAGAGAUUGGACAGCCAUUUCUCUGAAAUAGUACAGGGCUUCCUGCUUCCAACUCUGUUGUUCUCUUCUCUGCUCAAGGAAUGGAAUGUGAAUCUAGAUACGUCUUUGGCCUGAUUCUGAUGUACACAGGUGAUGGAUGAAUCGUGGGAUCUGCUUCUGUCUAAAGAACUGGGGAAGACAACAGUGAACCUGGAUGAAGCUCCAAGCAAAUUACGGAAGAAUUCAUUGGAUGCAUUAGCAACACCCUGGGAAGACCAGAUGUGACCAGAAUUGUUUCAAGGAAUUGACGUAUUUUCCCCCUCCAUCAGCACUGACGUAUUUUUUUUUUUCAAAAUGAUUGGCAGCUUCUCUCUUCUCUUGGAUCAACUGUGAGGCUUCGGGUUCCCGAGACAAUUUUUUUUUUUAAUAUUGGUGCAUCCAGCGAGUGAAACAUUUCCAUAGUUAGAUACUGGACUGCCUUUCCACCCCCCGCUCCCCUCUUCUGCUUGCAAAAAUACUUUUUUUCUCUGCUGUAAAAAGAUAAGUGGGCUUUUUUCAACAGGUGAAUGAACCAGAUAAAACACCACCGACUGUCAAUUUUAACAUUUGGGAAAAAAAAAAAAGAAAAUAUGGUGAAUUAGAAAAAUAGGAGCCUACCAAUCUAAGCAGACCCCACAAAAGAGCUUUCUGUGUAAUAAUAAUAACAAUAACAACAACAACAACAACAAUAACAACAACAACAACAAUAAUAAUAAUGGUACUCAGCACACUGGGUGCUGUGCCUAAAGACCUAGGCAAGCACUUAAAAACAAUUGGCGCUGACAAGAUCACCAUUGGUCAGCUGCAGAAGGCCACCUUACUGGGAUCUGCUCGCAUAAUCCGCUGAUACAUCACGCAGUCCUAAACACUUGGGAAGUGUUCGACUAGUGAUUUGUGAUACGAAACGCAGCAUAGUUAUCUCAUUUGCUGUGUAC